UGAUGAAGAUUGCCAAUGAUAUACGUUUUCUUGGAAGUGGUCCAAGAUGUGGUCUUGGUGAACUUGUUCUGCCUGAAAAUGAGCCAGGAAGCAGCAUCAUGCCUGGCAAGGUAAAUCCUACACAGUGUGAGGCCUUGACUAUGGUUUGUGCUCAGGUAAG